UUUAUAAAUUUGGGUAGAUCUAUUUUGGAUUCUGUAAAAAUUUGGAAAUAUUUUUUUAGGUCUGCUCCCCAAUGUAAUGAUAUAUUUACACAGUUGAUGUCAAAGCAGCGCAACUUACAGCGAAGGAAUAGCAAAAGUUUUUCUUUUUUCGAUAUUUUGAAUAGGACGAAACUGCGAAAAGAGACCACCUGAUAUCAACGUUGCACUCCGAGCCAGCAUAGUAACGCGCAUAUCCUGCGGAGGAGGCAUCCUCACAGUUCAAAUUGCUGAGCGAACGUGCACUCGAGAUGCCAUACGGAGCCAAGAGCCGGCGGCUGCUGUGGGUAUCGCUGCCAAGGAGGCUGGCGCUGUCAUCGCCCAGUGUCGAGUUCAACAUAUCCGUGUAGUUAUGUUGUUGUUGUUGGUAGAGAUUGAGCUGUUGUUGGCGACGACGAUGGAAUUCAUUGGCUUGUGUUAUGUAUGCGUGUGUGUACCUAAAGAGGAAGCACAUGGCGGCGUUUCGUGUAUGUGUGUUCUAGUCUUAAGACAACAGUUCCAAAACGUUAUGAAUGGUUGGUAUUUGUGAAAUACGUCUAUUUAGAAUAUCUCAAGAUGUACUAUUUAAACUUAAGUCAACUUUUGCCUGGGGGAAUAAUGGAAUGAAACAGUUGUAUAUGCGAAAUUAUCCGAAAACGUUUGCAAAUGGUUCAAAAUUUAAUAUGUAAUUAUGGCUUAUAUCGUAAAACGGGUUCGUUUUAAAAUUUUGAGUCUUUUUUUGGUCUGGUUUUGCGGCCGGAAUGGUGGAAUGAAACAGAAGCUAACCUAAAAACAGUCGCAAAUGCAGAAGAACUGAAGUUCUAAGAAAUUUUAAUUGCAAUGUCAAUUCGGUCGUAUAUUUAAAU